rnacentral:lncRNA from 1 species
AUGAAAUUUACAUUAACAAGUUUACCCUUGAACUCCACUAGUUUUGUAGGUGAUACAAAUCUUUUAUAUAAGGGUUGUAAGCUAAUCUAGCAAAGGUUGUUGCUGGAGCUUGUUCAAAAAGGUCAUUGCUCCCAAAAUCCUCUAGCUGAUUGCUUCGGUUGCAGCUGUGUUAGAUGCUGGGGUUGGUUAGGAAAAGUUGCUGCUGGAGUUCAUUCAAAAAACAGUGGUUGCUUCUGUUGUAGUGAUACAAAAUACUUCAGUCAACUGCUUCAUUCUAUCUAUACAAAAAGAGCAGUUG